rnacentral:rRNA from 1 species
UACAGAGGUCCCAAGCGUUGUUCGGAUUUACUGGGCGUAAAGGGUGCGUAGGCGGUUGGGUAAGUCUGAUGUGAAAUCUCCAGGCUCAACUUGGAAAUGGCAUCGGAAACUAUCCAGCUAGAGGGUUGGAGGGGGGACUGGAAUUCUCGGUGUAGCAGUGAAAUGCGUAGAUAUCGAGAGGAACACCAGUGGCGAAGGCGAGUCCCUGGACAACUCCUGACGCUGAGGCACGAAAGCUAGGGGAGCAAACAGG